GCACUGCUGAGGAGUCCCAUAAUAGGACGAAACGAUGGUUCAGUGC
rfam:Schistosoma mansoni, Puerto Rico, WGS project CABG01000000 data, contig: 0105